UUUGUUGUUUGUUUUGUUUUGGUUUUAGAGACAGAGCCUUACAGCUUGGGCUGUGAUCAAACUCAUGGUCAACUGCUUCUGACUCCUGAGUGCUAAGAAUAGAGAAUCCUUCACCACCAGGUCUGGCAGCAUGUACAUGGUUUCUCACGUGCAUUAUCUUAUUGAAUCUUGCUAUCAAGACUGUGUUGUGUGGCUGUUCUGAAGGAGGUUCGAGAAGGUUAGAAUGAGGAUGGACCGGAGGAAAGCAACCAUGAUAGCAUCAACAAGAACCACAUCUGUUCCAAACGCAUCAGAAAAACCCUGAGUGUGCUGACACUGAGAUCAAGAUUUGAGCAUCAAGAUGUGAUCAGGAGCAGCUGAGAGUUCCUGCCACAUGCCUUUUCUCCACCACCAUGGACUCUAACCCUCUGAAACUGUGUUUUAUGACAUUUUUCUCUUACCCUCUCACAGAAACUCCCCAGGUAGCAAUGAAAAGAAAACACUGAGUUCUCUGACUUUAU